CCUGCCCCAGCGGUGGGUGUGGUUCCCGGGCAGGGUUGGGUCCAUCCGGGCCCGCCCCCUACUGCAUCAUAGGGUGGGGUUGCUACAGGUGUAGAGGGAGUGCACUCCCUCACCUGUUCAAGAUAUACCUUAUAUAAGCAGCCAGCCUCAUUGGGACAAAUCCAGAUCCCACGGCGACUGUGUUUGGUGGUUAUGACAGAUUUUGGCUGCAGGAAGACGUCAGCACCUCCUUCAAUAGGUGUCUCAACAUCCCUCCCUAACAGGAAGGCUACAGCUUCAACCAUUUUACCAUCCGACCAUCUUACCUCUGUGAGCUUUACAGAUAGCACAGAACCUAUGGCAGCGUCUAACUAAUACUCCCUGAAGAAGACCGCUACUCAUAAAAGGUCAAAACGCGUAGGGGUGUUUUUCGCCCAUAGUAUUUGUAUACUUACAGUACUGUUACGCUAUGUCUGUACUUGUUCUACCUUGUGUUUUUAUUUGCCAUGUAUGACUUAUGUUUUUUACCAAGCUCAUAUCUUGAGUCCCUACUGUUUGGGGCU